rnacentral:misc_RNA from 1 species
UUUCCGUAGGUGAACCUGCGGAAGGAUCAUUACAGAGUUCAUGCCCUCACGGGUAGAUCUCCCACCCUUGAAUAUUUAUACCUUAGUUGCUUUGGCAGGCCGUGGAAACACCAUGGGCUCCGGCUUAUGCGUGCCUGCCAGAGGAAAUAAACUCUGUUUUUAGUGAUGUCUGAGUACUAUAUAAUAGUUAAAACUUUCAACAACGGAUCUCUUGGUUCUG